rnacentral:lncRNA from 1 species
GCUUUGCAAAUUUUGCCCUGGCCGGGUGGGCAGGGACCAGAACGGAAGCGUGUACAAGGGCUCAAUCCUCUUUCCUCCUUGUCCCCUUGCCCGCAGGAGUGCCAGCACAGGAGAAGGCACCUGCUAAGCUCCUGGUCUACCUACAGCGCUUCAGGCCUCAGGACUAUCAGCGCCUGCUAGAAGCAGACAGUUCCGGUGAGGCCACAGGGGACUCAGUACCGUGACAACAGUGCAUGGAAGCAGGGUUCACUUCCUCAAAAGGAUGGUAACCCUGAAGCUGCCAUCCACACCCGGACCCACUGCGCCCCUUCCCUUUCAGCAGAGCUACUUUUCUCUCCAGCUCUGCCUGGUCUUUCACCCACACUGAGCUAUCCUUCCUGGAGCCCUCCCUCACUGCUUCCCUCAUCCGUCAGAUGCAAUCUGUGGGCCGCCCCUCUCCCCUGGCCGCUAAGCAGCCU